UACGUAGGGUGCAAGCGUUGUCCGGAAUUAUUGGGCGUAAAGAGCUCGUAGGCGGUCUGUCGCGUCGGCUGUGAAAACUCGGGGCUCAACCCCGAGCCUGCAGUCGAUACGGGCAGACUAGAGUGCUGUAGGGGAGACUGGAAUUCCUGGUGUAGCGGUGAAAUGCGCAGAUAUCAGGAGGAACACCGGUGGCGAAGGCGGGUCUCUGGGCAGUAACUGACGCUGAGGAGCGAAAGCGUGGGGAGCAAACAGGAUUAGAAACCGAGUAGUCC
rnacentral:rRNA from 1 species